rnacentral:rRNA from 1 species
AUUGAACGCUGGCGGCAUGCCUUACACAUGCAAGUCGAACGGCAGCACGGGGGCAACCCUGGUGGCGAGUGGCGAACGGGUGAGUAACAUAUCGGAACGUGCCCUGGAGUGGGGGAUAACUAGUCGAAAGAUUAGCUAAUACCGCAUACGAUCUACGGAUGAAAGUGGGGGAUCGCAAGACCUCAUGCUCGUGGAGCGGCCGAUAUCUGAUUAGCUAGUUGGUGGGGUAAAAGCCUACCAAGGCAUCGAUCAGUAGCUGGUCUGAGAGGACGACCAGCCACACUGGGACUGAGACACGGCCCAGACUCCUACGGGAGGCAGCAGUGGGGAAUUUUGGACAAUGGGCGCAAGCCUGAUCCAACAAUGCCGCGUGAGUGAAGAAGGCCUUCGGGUUGUAAAGCUCUUUUGUCAGGGAAGAAACGGUGAGGGCUAAUAUCCCUUGCUAAUGACGGUACCUGAAGAAUAAGCACCGGCUAACUACGUGCCAGCAGCCGCGGUAAUACGUAGGGUGCAAGCGUUAAUCGGAAUUACUGGGCGUAAAGCGUGCGCAGGCGGUUGUGCAAGACCGAUGUGAAAUCCCCGGGCUUAACCUGGGAAUGGCAUUGGUGACUGCACGGCUAGAGUGUGUCAGAGGGGGGUAGAAUUCCACGUGUAGCAGUGAAAUGCGUAGAGAUGUGGAGGAAUACCGAUGGCGAAGGCAGCCCCCUGGGAUAACACUGACGCUCAUGCACGAAAGCGUGGGGAGCAAACAGGAUUAGAUACCCUGGUAGUCCACGCCCUAAACGAUGUCAACUAGUUGUCGGGUCUUAAUUGACUUGGUAACGCAGCUAACGCGUGAAGUUGACCGCCUGGGGAGUACGGUCGCAAGAUUAAAACUCAAAGGAAUUGACGGGGACCCGCACAAGCGGUGGAUGAUGUGGAUUAAUUCGAUGCAACGCGAAAAACCUUACCUACCCUUGACAUGGCAGGAAUCCCGGAGAGAUUCGGGAGUGCUCGAAAGAGAACCUGCACACAGGUGCUGCAUGGCUGUCGUCAGCUCGUGUCGUGAGAUGUUGGGUUAAGUCCCGCAACGAGCGCAACCCUUGUCAUUAGUUGCUACGAAAGGGCACUCUAAUGAGACUGCCGGUGACAAACCGGAGGAAGGUGGGGAUGACGUCAAGUCCUCAUGGCCCUUAUGGGUAGGGCUUCACACGUCAUACAAUGGUACAUACAGAGGGCCGCCAACCCGCGAGGGGGAGCUAAUCCCAGAAAGUGUAUCGUAGUCCGGAUUGCAGUCUGCAACUCGACUGCAUGAAGUUGGAAUCGCUAGUAAUCGCGGAUCAGCAUGUCGCGGUGAAUACGUUCCCGGGUCUUGUACACACCGCCCGUCACACCAUGGGAGCGGGUUUUACCAGAAGUAGGUAGCUUAACCGCAAGGAGGGCGCUUACCACGGUAGGAUUCGUGACUGGGGUGAAGUCGUAACAAGGUAGCCGUAUCGGAAGG